GUGGGGAAUCUUCCGCAUGGACGAAAGUCUGACGGAGCAACGCCGCGUGAACGAUGACGGCCUUCGGGUUGUAAAGUUCUGUUAUACGGGACGAAUGGUACGACGGUCAAUACCCGUCGUAAGUGACGGUACCGUAAGAGAAAGCCACGGCUAACUACGUGCCAGCAGCCGCGGUAAUACGUAGGUGGCAAGCGUUGUCCGGAAUUAUUGGGCGUAAAGGGCGCGCAGGCGGCGGCGUAAGUCGGGCUUAAAAGUGCGGGGCUUAACACCGUGAGGGGACCGAAACUGCGAUGCUAGAGUAUCGGAGAGGAAAGCGGAAUUCCUAGUGUAGCGGUGAAAUGCGUAGAUAUUAGGAGGAACAACAGUGGCGAAAGCGGCUUUCUGGACGACAACUGACGCUGAGGCGCGAAAGCCAGGGGAGCAAACGGGAUUAGAUACCCGAGUAGUCC
rnacentral:rRNA from 1 species